CGGCGAUGGUGGCGGGGCUGGUGCCGCUGCUCUUCGCCAGCGGGGCCGGCGCAUCCAGCCGGUUCGCGAUCGGCAUCGUCGU
rnacentral:tRNA from 1 species